rnacentral:tRNA from 1 species
GCCCGGGUGGUGGAAUUGGUAGACACGCAGGACUUAAAAUCCUGUGACGGUUAAACGUCGUGCGGGUUCAAGUCCCGCCCCGGGUA